UUGGUUCUGAGAGGCGAAGAAGGACGUGGUAAACUGCGAUAAGCUGCGGUAAGCUGAAAACAAGCAUUAUACCCGCAGAUUUCCGAAUGGGGCAACCCACUUGAUUGAAGAUCAAGUAUUUGUAGCAAUACAAAAGCUAACCCGGAGAACUGAAACAUCUAAGUACCCGGAGGAAAAUAAAACAAUACAGUGAUUCCCUAAGUAGUGGCGAGCGAAAGGGGAACAGCCCAAAUCGUAAUAGCGUGCUAUUGCGAGGUUAUAGGGCCGCAUUUAAUGAGUUAUAUCAAGCUGAAUUUUCUGGAAAGAAAAGCAACAUAAGGUGAUAGCCCUGUAAGCACAAAUUAUAACAAGUGAGCGGUACCCUGAGUAAUGCGGAACCGGAGAAAUUCUGCAUGAAGUCACCAGCACCAUCUGGUAAGGCUAAAUACUCCUCAGAAACCGAUAGUGAACUAGUACCGUAAGGGAAAGGUGAAAAGUACUUCGAAUCAGAAGAGUGAAAUAGUACCUGAAACCGUACGCCUACAAGCGGUCGGAGCAACAUUAUGUUGUGACGGCGUGCCUUUUGCAUAAUGAGCCUACGAGUUGUACUUCACUGGCGAGGUUAAGUUUUUAAGCAACGAAGCCGUAGCGAAAGCAAGUCCAAAUAGGGCGAUUUAGUCAGUGGAGACAGACGCGAAACUUUGUGAUCUAUCCAUGAGCAGGUUGAAGGUGUAGUAAAAUAUACUGGAGGACCGAACUCAUAAACGUUGAAAAGUUUUGAGAUGACUUGUGGAUAGGGGUGAAAGGCCAAUCAAACUGAGAGAUAGCUCGUUCUCCCCGAAAUGUUUUUAGGAACAGCCUUGUAUAUUGAGGUGUGAUAGAGGUAGAGCUACUGAUUGGGUGAGGGGGUGUCAAAGCCAGCCAAGCCCUAACAAACUCCGAAUGCUAUCACAUAUCUACAGGAGUGAGGCUGUGGGCGAUAAGGUCCAUGGCCAAAAGGGAAAUAACCCAGACUAACAGUUAAGGUCCCUAAGCGUAUGUUAAGUUGAUCAAACGAAGUUAGAAUCCUAUAACACCCAGGAUGUUGGCUUGGAAGCAGCCAUUCAUUUAAAGAGUGCGUAACAGCUCACUGGUCGAGGAUUCUUGCACGGAAAAUAAUCGGGCAUCAAACAUACCACCGAAACUUUAGACUCAUACUAUGUAUGAGUGGUAGGGGAGCAUUCUAAACUGCAUCGAAGGUGUUGGGUGACCAAUGCUGGAGCGUUUAGAAAAGAAAAUGUAGGCAUAAGUAACGAUAAAUGUAGUGAAAAACUAUAUCGCCGCAAGUCCAAGGUUUCCUGAUCAACGUUAAUCGAAUCAGGGUUAGUCGGGUCCUUAGGAAUACCCGAAAGGGGAAUCUGAUGGCAAAUUGAUUAAUAUUUCAAUACUUGCUUUAACUUCGAUGGGGUGACGGAGUAGUGAAAGGUUCGCGAACAGACGUAAUAGUUCGUUAAAGCGUGUAGUUAUAUUUGUUGUAGGUAAAUCCGCAAUGAAUGAUGAACGUGAUAGUACCACAAGUUUUCGGAUGAGUGGAUAGUAACCCUAAACAAACUUCCAAGAAAAACCUCUAAGUUAUGGUUAAAGCAACCCGUACCGUAAACCGACACAGGUGGACGAGAUGAAUAUUCUAAGGCGCUCGGGUGAGCCGUGGAGAAGGAACUAGGCAAAUUAACGCUGUAACUUCGGGAUAAAGCGUACCGCAGUGAUGCGGUCUCAGUAAAAUGGUUCAACCAACUGUUUAACAAAAACAUAGGGCUCUGCAAAAUCGCAAGAUGAAGUAUAGGGCCUGAUACCUGCCCGGUGCUGGAAGGUUAAGGAAGGGGGUUCGGCGCAAGCCAAAGCUCUUGACUGAAGCCCCAGUAAACGGCGGCCGUAACUAUAACGGUCCUAAGGUAGCGAAAUUCCUUGUCGGGUAAGUUCCGACCUGCACGAAUGGUCUAAUGAGUUGAACGCUGUCUCCUCCACGAGCCCGGUGAAAUUGUAGUAUCGGUGAAGAUGCCGGUUACCCGCCACGGGACGGAAAGACCCCGUGAACCUUCACUACAACUUUGCAUUGAUUUUGAGUAACAAAUGUGUAGAAUAGUUGGGAGACUUUGAAGUGGUGGCGCUAGACAUCAUGGAGUCAACGUUGAAAUACCAACCUUUUGUUGCUUAGAGUCUAAUCCUUGAAAAUGGAAACAGUGCAUGGUGGGUAGUUUGACUGGGGUGGUCGCCUCCUAAAAAGUAACGGAGGCUUGCAAAGGUUCCCUCAGUACGGUUGGUAAUCGUACAUAGAGCGUAUUAGUAUAAGGGAGCUUGACUGUGAGACAGACAAGUCGAGCAGGGUCGAAAGACGGCUAAAGUGAUCCGGUGGUUCUGCAUGGAAGGGCCAUCGCUCAAAGGAUAAAAGGUACUCCGGGGAUAACAGGCUGAUCUCCCCCAAGAGCUCAUAUCGACGGGGAGGUUUGGCACCUCGAUGUCGGUUCGUCACAUCCUGGGGCUGGAGAAGGUCCCAAGGGUUCGGCUGUUCGCCGAUUAAAGUGGCACGUGAACUGGGUUCAGAACGUCGCAAGACAGUUCGGUCCCUAUCUGUGGUGGGCGCAAGGAGAUUGAGAAGACAUGACCUUAGUACGAGAGGACCGGGUCGUACAUACCUCUGGUGUAUCAGUUGUGCCGACAGGUGCAGUGCUGAGUAGCUACGUAUGGAAAGGAUAAACGCUGAAAGCAUCUAAGCGUGAAACCUGCUUCAAGAUGAGUCUCCUCUUAAGGGCCGUAGAAGACUACUACGUUGAUAGGCUAUAGGUGUAAAGGUAGUAAUACCAAAGCUGAGUAGUACUAAUUGCCCGUGA
rnacentral:rRNA from 1 species